UGUCUUCAGUCUAACUUUUUAUUUUUUAAAACCUUUGAUACUCCUUUUCAAAUACUGCUCGUGUCCUAUAAAUAAUUUCUAGCAAAAGUGAUAUUUGCUCUCUUAAUUAAAAAAGAUACUUCAAAAACGUUGCUUUACUAGUUUUAGUUUAAGAAAUGUUAUAAAAACCACUUCCUGAAAGAAUGAACUGGUUCCGCAUCUACUCCUUGUGGCAUACUCCAGAAAUAUUCUUAAUUUUUCUUUUUUCAUAGACUUUUUUUUUUCAGUUGAGAUUCCAGUGCAGAGGGUUGCCACGUGUUUCUAUUUAUUUAUUCCUAUGAUCAGUCCCAUAACUGUCAGCUCUUCCUGGCUUUUCAGGAAAAUCCCUAAAAUUUGUUUAUAAAUAUCCUUCUACAUCACCCUCUAAUCUGCUGAAAUCUCUCAGUUCUACUUUCAUUUUGAAAACCAUGAAAAUGGCCACACAUUCAAGCUGGAGCACUUCUGAACAUUUGAUGGGCUUGUUUUUGCAUGACUGUAAUUUUCUUAAUCUUACCUUUGGUAAAAUGGUAUAUGGGUCCUCUGUUCUGAUGCUGCUUUUCUCAUCGCUGCUCAUUAAUUUAAUUUAAUUUUGUUAGAGAGUAUAACUGAUUCUAGCAAGAAGCCAGGUAUUCAAAGUUUAUAAUAUUCAAACUUUGCACUAAAUAACAUGUUGGUCUCUACGUGUAUGUGAUGAUGAGUUCUGGAACUUUUAUUUCACCUUGGUCAGGUAUAACCAAUUCUGAAUUUGAAAAAAAACCCAUCGGUAAUAGACUGUACAGUAAUUUUUGAUGGUGAAACGAUAUACCAGUUUAGUUCCUAAACUCAACAGCCUGAAGUACUGCAUGCCAAACUAACUCUAAAAAAAGUGUUUUCAAACUGCUAGAAAAGAAAAAAAAAACACUACUCUGUUGUUUACAAGAAAAGAAGUUGAUUCACCUCUCACCUAGUUUCUUUUUUGAGUGCUGAUGUCUACAGACUCCAUAUGUGAAAACUUUUAAAAGCCUCAAACAGUAUGUCUGUAUAUAAGGAUGCAAGUCAGCUGCUGCCUUGGGCACAUCGUGCCUAUGGUUGGAAGCGUAGUGUACUAAUGCUUGGAAUGCUGCUGCACCAUCAGCAGCAGGCUUAAGUGCAACAGGCAACAUGGGCUUCUUCCUUUCCUAGUGAUUAGACGGCCGGGCUGAAUGCGUGGCACCUGGCUGACAAUGGAUUAAGCAGCAAGAGAGAGACACACACACACAGAGCGAGCCCUUCAGCGAAGAUACUGCACCGUCUGCAUCCCUGACGCUUUAUCAGCCACCAGCACUCAACUGCUCUGCGCAGCAGCAGCGUUUCCUCCUUACCACUGGAUCUCUGUAAUGGAGGGGAGCAGCAGCCAGAUGGUACAUUACUAGUUAGAUCCUUUCUAGUCUGGUAACUCCCCCCCAUCGCGCACCUCUCACUUGCUAGAGAAGUUGCCUGUUCUCUCUUGAUGUGAAUCACCUCCGAUUAGAGGGGACCGCGGCUCUUUAGUUAGGAAUUGCCAGCUCGCAAAACUUUCUAGGCAGGAAGCUGGCUCCACGCAACUGGGGUGGAGGAGGAGGAGAGAAAAAAAAAAAGUUUCGCUCACUUCUCUCCUUGGCGGAGCCCCUCCCCGCUCCGAGGGGAGAGCUAGAGAUGCUGCUACUUGCAACAGGCUGCUAUAGUAGCAGCGGCAGCCCGAGUAACACGUCCCCAGGAGACUAGCAGGAGCAACACGUGAUGUGUCUACUUAUCAGGGGAGAAGCGGAGGAAGGGAAGUUACUGUGGAGUUGAUGAACUUUGCACAUCCACAGAAACGCCAUUUUGAUUCCAUUUUCCGGAACAACUUUGCGUCUCUUUUCCCCCCCCGCUUCACCAACCCAUCAUCAGCGCAUCAUGUCUCGACGCAAACAGCCCAGCCCCAGCAAAAGCAAGCGCUGCUCUGUACUGGUGCUCCAGCAGUGGUGACAGUGAGGUGACGCUACCAGUAAACUUCUCUGCCGUUGGGGCCUCGCCAGCACCAAUACUUCAGUAGCCAGGGCAGACUUGGUAUUAAAAAAGUACUAGAGGGUGCUAUAGAGGAUCUAGACUCUGCUAAGCCGAAUACACUAAGUGGGGAGAGCAGCAAGCAAGAAGAAAACCUUAUUGUUCAGCAGUCAAAGGAGGAAAAUGAAGGUAACUUAUUUAACUAGAAUUAUGUUCUUCAUUAAUUUAAAA